rnacentral:rRNA from 1 species
UGGGGAAUAUUGCACAAUGGGGGAAACCCUGAUGCAGCGACGCCGCGUGAAGGAAGAAGUAUCUCGGUAUGUAAACUUCUAUCAGCAGGGAAGAUAAUGACGGUACCUGACUAAGAAGCCCCGGCUAACUACGUGCCAGCAGCCGCGGUAAUACGUAGGGGGCAAGCGUUAUCCGGAUUUAUUGGGUUUUAAAGGGAGCGUAGACGGAUCUGCAAGUCUGGAGUGAAAGCCCGGGCUCAACCCCGGGACUGCUUUGGAAACUGUAGGUCUAGAGUGCCGGAGAGGUAAGCGGAAUUCCUAGUGUAGCGGUGAAAUGCGUAGAUAUUAGGAGGAACACCAGUGGCGAAGGCGGCUUACUGGACGGUAACUGACGUUGAGGCUCGAAAGCGUGGGGAGCAAACAGGAUUAGAUACCC